rnacentral:rRNA from 1 species
UGGGGAAUUUUGGACAAUGGGGGAAACCCUGAUCCAGCCAUCCCGCGUGUGCGAUGAAGGCCUUCGGGUUGUAAAGCACUUUUGGCAGGAAAGAAAGCGUCGCGGGUUAAUACCCCGCGAAACUGACGGUACCUGCAGAAUAAGCACCGGCUAACUACGUGCCAGCAGCCGCGGUAAUACGUAGGGUGCAAGCGUUAAUCGGAAUUACUGGGCGUAAAGCGUGCGCAGGCGGUUCGGAAAGAAAGAUGUGAAAUCCCAGAGCUUAAUCUUUGGAACUGCAUUUUUGAACUACCGGGCUAGAGUGUGUCAGAGGAGGUGGAAUUCCGCGUGUAGCAGUGAAAUGCGUAGAUAUGCGGAGGAACACCGAUGGCGAGGGCAGCCUCCUGGGAUAACACUGACGCUCAUGCACG